rnacentral:rRNA from 1 species
CACGAACCGGGCAAACGUUAUUCGGAAUUACUGGGCUUAAAGGGUGCGUAGGCGGCGCUGUAAGUCGGGUGUGAAAUCCCUCGGCCUAACCGAGGAAUUGCGCCCGAUACUGCAGUGCUCGAGGAAGAUAGAGGUGGGCGGAACUAGCGGUGGAGCGGUGAAAUGCGUUGAUAUCGCUGGGAACACCCGUGGCGAAAGCGGCCCACUGGGUCUUUUCUGACGCUGAUGCACGAAAGCUAGGGUAGCGAACGGGAUUAGAUACCCCGGUAGUCCUAGCCGUAAACGAUGAGCACUAGAUCGGGGAGACCUCCACAUCUUCCCGAUCGUAGCGAAAGUGUUAAGUGCUCCGCCUGGGGAGUAUGGUCGCAAGGCUGAA